UUCCAAUAAAUAUGUCAGCCUGG
rnacentral:piRNA from 1 species